rnacentral:lncRNA from 1 species
UGAAAUCAUCCAAUUCUUAAGAUAUUUAAAACAAUAUUACUCUUGGAUCAUUUUGGUGCAUAAAUAAAGAAUGAAAUGCAUGAAAAUCCUAGUGCACCAACAACCUUACAAAAAGAUCUUAUGAAGCUUUGGUCUUGAAAAACUCUUCUCUUUGAGGUGGUCUUCUUCUUCAUGAUUUCUCCUUAGCUUGAUUUGUCUUUGUGAUUGCCAUUUUGGAAAUC